AUACUUGUUUUGGAAUUACAUGUACUAAAAUGGGAACAAUACAGAAAAGAUUAGCAUGGCCCCUGCACAUGGAU
rnacentral:snRNA from 1 species